AGCCUUCGUUCUUGGAGGCCGGAACGACGAUUCUCAUGGACACGAGGUACUCGUAAGUUCCUCCGCCGCGACCCCAAAGGCUGCUGCCAUGGGCCCCCGCGCUCACCAUGCCCGCCGGCGACACGCCGUCCCAGGCGAUGGUCUGGUGCAAAGUCACGCCUUGCAUCGCCAGGAGAUCGAUAAGCUCGCCAAGCAUGAUUCCAGGGGGUGUGGAGACCGUCAUAGAGCUCUUGUCGACAACGACGCUCGAGUUGGAGUUGAAGCUAGCGGUGCUGAUGACAACCCCCCCUGUGUCGGAUCCGGAGUUUGGACACGCGAAUUUGGUCAUGGUAUGUGCCUCCCUGCUUACCACUUUGAUCUUCUGCUUGCUCUUGACUGCGUAGGCCACGGCGUCGAGGAGCUCGGCCUCGUUGGUCGGGAAGAACGCCUUGGUGAUCUUGCAAGGCCUGCGAUCUGGCCAUGGACCUCUGAGAUAGUUCUUGAGCUCGCAGCCACUCGCAUCGCAUUCUACUAGAGAUCUUACAAGAUGCAAGUUGAGAGAAAAGAGGAGGGCGAGGAGGACGAACUUCAUGAUCUCGAGUACUUGGUGGUGAAAGCUCUCAAAGAUUUAUGGAUCAUUUUCUAUCAAAUGCCACCUUGACUUACGUCAGUAAAAUCAUUUAAUAAUUAGUAUCCCAGGAAACGCUAAUUGACUCUUAGAGAGAAAAUAUGUUUAUAAGUUGUUACUUUCCACAAAAUACAUAGCAUGAAAGCAAAUAUCAGUCAAUGAAGGCCAUUUGUCUUUGCGGCGUAGCUAUCACUGGGAACAUCAUGUGCACCACAAGACCAACCAGCUAACACCAGUCCUUCAAAAUGUUCGUAAAAUUCCGAGAUGUUUCUGAUACUGCAUCUUGUCUUUGAGCUCCAAGUGCCACUUCCCACAAGUAAAGCAAUGCGGCCAAGGAGAAAGAAAGAUUUGGAUCAGAGUCAAGUAAGCCAUAAUCAAACUCCACACUAUAGAAAAACUGAAAUUCAAUUCUUGAAAAUUCACAAGAGAUUUAAUUACUGAAUCUACUACUCCACACAGGAGCAAUGCUUGGAUUGACAUAUGCUCUAGUGAAAAUUAGCACUAGAAAUGCAGCGCCUAGAUCAAGAACAUUAGUAUUAGUAUUUUGCAAUGAGUGAAAUUGAGGAUUUCUGUAGUGCCAACAAACAAGAAGAGCAUCAUCUUCAUGGUUACCCAAGACAACCUAUCAAGCCCUGGAGAUAGAGGUGUUGGUUAUUUAAAUCCACAUAAGUUGAUCAUGUGAUAUAAAUUAUUAAGAGUUCCAGUUGAGGAUGCUGGAUUGAGCUCUAUUGAGUGGAUCCCAGGCAAGCCUGAGGAGCUUUCAAGAAUCUAAUCUGCAAUGCAAGGGCAGUAUCAAGCAGACAACGACGUUCUGGUGAUAAGUCUUUCACGUCCCGGAUAAAGCUGGCCGAUGGAGAUAGAUACCGAGACGUGGAACCAGAAUAGGCCGUAAGUUCGGAACUCCCAACCACAGACGAGCCUCUUGGACACCGGGAGAGCCAAGUUGGUGGAGUUGCUAUAAGUGUACUGGCAGCCCCCUCGAGCUUGAAACUUGUGGAAGUAUUUCCGACCCGAGAAAUGUUGCUGCUGCUCAUCGUUGAAUAAUCCGCCAACCGUGGAAGUAAUGGUGUUCACGGUGUUCUUAGCAACGGAACAGAAGAAGGUUGAAUUCCCAAUCGCUUCAGCUGCUUCUUCUGGAAACAAUUCAAUUUUAAGAUCAGUCGGAGAGCACGAAAGGAAAGGAAAAUCCGGGAGAACGGCUCAGUCUUGAACUCCUGGCAGCAGCAGCCUGACGGGAAGAAAUAGAGGUGUAGUCUCAGCCCCAUUUCCUGCCACCGAGAGUGGCGCUCUGUCAUCGGUCCUCCACACGUAUUUCUUCUGCGAGCUGUACCACAACACUUGCCCAAACUCGUGCUCCCGAGCCAGCCUCAAGAAGUUGUCCUCCAGCGACGCAUCGUCCGCCACCGACAGCGUCACAGACCUCUUCGUCAUGGACCGUACAGAGGCCGGGACGACGAUUCUCAUGGACACGAGGUACUCGUAAGUUCCUCCUCCGCGACUCCACAGGCUGCUGCCGUGAGCCCCCGUGCUCACCAUGCCCGCUGGCGGGUGCAAAGUCACGCCUUGCACCGCCAGGAGAUCCAUGAGCUCGCCAAGCAUGAUUCCAGGAGGCGUGGAGGCCGUCAUGGAGCUCUUGUCGACGACGACGCUCGAGAUGGAGUUGAAGCUAGCGGUGCUGAUGACAACUUCCCCUGUGUCGGAUCCGGAGUUUGGACACGCGAAUUUGGUCAUGGUAUGUGCCUCCCUGCUUACCACUUUGAUCUUCUUGCGAUCCGGCCAUGGACCUC
rnacentral:lncRNA from 1 species